GUGCUAUGGGAGCGGCCGAUGUCCGUAUUAGCUAGUUGGUGGGGUAAAGGCUUACCAAGGCGACGAUCGGUAGCUGGUCUGAGAGGAUGAUCAGCCACACUGGGACUGAGACACGGCCCAGACUCCUACGGGAGGCAGCAGUGGGGAAUUUUGGACAAUGGGGGCAACCCUGAUCCAGCCAUGCCGCGUGCGGGAAGAAGGCCUUCGGGUUGUAAACCGCUUUUGGUCGGGAAGAAAAGGUUCUCCCUAAUACGGAGGACUGUUGACGGUACCGGCAGAAUAAGCACCGGCUAACUACGUG
rnacentral:rRNA from 1 species